rnacentral:rRNA from 1 species
AGACCCGAAACCCGGUGAUCUAGCCAUGGGCAGGUUGAAGGUUGGGUAACACUAACUGGAGGACCGAACCGACUAAUGUUGAAAAAUUAGCGGAUGACCUGUGGCUGGGGGUGAAAGGCCAAUCAAACCGGGAGAUAGCUGGUUCUCCCCGAAAGCUAUUUAGGUAGCGCCUCGUGAAUUCAUCUCCGGGGGUAGAGCACUGUUUCGGCUAGGGGGCCAUCCCGGCUUACCAACCCGAUGCAAACUGCGAAUACCGGAGAAUGUUAUCACGGGAGACACACGGCGGGUGCUAACGUCCGUCGUGAAGAGGGAAACAACCCAGACCGCCAGCUAAGGUCCCAAAGUCAUGGUUAAGUGGGAAACGAUGUGGGAAGGCCCAGACAGCCAGGAUGUUGGCUUAGAAGCAGCCAUCAUUUAAAGAAAGCGUAAUAGCUCACUGGUCGAGUCGGCCUGCGCGGAAGAUGUAACGGGGCUAAACCAUGCACCGAAGCUGCGGCAGCGACACUGUGUGUUGUUGGGUAGGGGAGCGUUCUGUAAGCCUGCGAAGGUGGCCUGUGAGGGUUGCUGGAGGUAUCAGAAGUGCGAAUGCUGACAUAAGUAACGAUAAAGCGGGU